rnacentral:rRNA from 1 species
UACGUAGGGGGCAAGCGUUGUCCGGAAUCAUUGGGCGUAAAGCGCGUGUAGGCGGCCCGGUAAGUCCGCUGUGAAAGUCCAGGGCUCAACCCUGGGAUGCCGGUGGAUACUGUCGGGCUCGAGUCCGGAAGAGGCGAGUGGAAUUCCUGGUGUAGCGGUGAAAUGCGCAGAUAUCAGGAGGAACACCAAUGGCGAAGGCAGCUCGCUGGGACGGUACUGACGCUGAGACGCGAAAGCGUGGGGGAGCGAGCAGG